rnacentral:rRNA from 1 species
CCCUUAGAUGUUCUGGGCCGCACGCGCGCUACACUGAUGCAUUCAACGAGUCUAAAACCUGCUCUGAUAGGGGUGGGUAAUCUUUUGAAUGUGCAUCGUGAUUGGGAUAGAUGAUUGCAAUUUUUCAUCUUCAACGAGGAAUGCCUAGUAAACGCAAGUCAUCAGCUUGCAUUGAUUACGUCCCUGCCCUUUGUACACACCGCCCGUCGCUCCUACCGAUUGAAUGAUCCGAUGAAUAUCAUGGAUUGAGGAUGCAAGCAGGUUUGCCUGUCUUCAUCUUCGAGAAGUGAAGUAAAUCUUAUCAUUUAGAGGAAGGAGAAGUCGUAACA